CAUGGAUCCGCCUAGGCUGUCCCGAGUGUGAGCGAGGUGUGAGUGUCGCCCAUGGGCAUCGACACCUUGCGGCUAGGAACUGGAACGAGACGGGUAGCAAAGAUUUCGAGUAGCACUUCAUACUACCGUGGGUUUUUUAAACCUUCCCCUAGUUUUGUUGAUGUUAUUCCGAGAAUUAGCAAACCGUAACGAAGAUGUUCUUGGCAACCAUCUUUUGAUGGGAGUCCGGCUGUUCGAAAGCCGGCCAAGGGUGAUGAACGAAAUGUGAACCCUUGUCUCGCCUAGGUUGGAUGGGCGUGCUUCGUUGGAAAGCAUGGAUCCGCCUAGGCUGUCCCGAAGGUAUCUCGCGCUUGUACGGCUUUGGCUCGGAUUCG